rnacentral:rRNA from 1 species
UACGUAGGGUGCAAGCGUUGUCCGGAAUUAUUGGGCGUAAAGAGCUCGUAGGCGGUUCGUCGCGUCGGCUGUGAAAACCCGGAGCUCAACUCCGGGCCUGCAGUCGAUACGGGCGGACUUGAGUGUUGCAGGGGAGACUGGAAUUCCUGGUGUAGCGGUGAAAUGCGCAGAUAUCAGGAAGAACACCCGUGGCGAAGGCGGUUCUCUGGGACGGUACUGACGCUGAGACGCGAAAGCGUGGGGAGCGAACAGG